AGAACUUAGCAUUUAUAGUUCUCUGAUAUUAACAUGGGACCUCCUGAGGGGCUCAUGUUUAUAUAUGGUGACGUAGGAGUCCACCUUGUGUGUGAUGAUGAGAGAAAGUUACAUGCUAACACAUAGGUUCUAGUUAUUACUGUUACAAAACAAGGUGGAAAACCUAGUUUCUGGUUAGGGAGAAAAAGUGUGGGAAGCUGUAAUUAACAUUAGGCAGGGGCACCCAAAGUUUGCCCAAAUGAAGACUGCCUUGGUAACUUGUCAGGAAUCUGAGGGCCAAACCUGUUAAAGAGGAAUGAAAAGACAACGUAUCUGAUCUCAAACUUGCCAGAGGACAGGAACAUGGCUUCAUGGCUCAGACAAACUGCUGAUCUAAGUUGUUCCUGGAAAGCCUCUGCACCACACAUAUGAACUUCACACUUUCAAACAGGACAGGUGGCAUUUUAAGGUUCCAGGAUGGUAGUUGUUUCUGAAGAGUGCUUAAGUAUCACAAAAUCCUUCCCUUGAGGACGGAAAGAAAGUGAAACAUGGGACUGCUGAUGGGAGACGGAGAAAUAAGCAUACAGCAAGAUGGCAUUGUUGAAAAUAACUCACCUCUUUUACGUGUCCCAG